rnacentral:rRNA from 1 species
AGAAUGAACGCUGGCGGCGUGCUUAACACAUGCAAGUCGCACGAGAACGAUCCAGCUUGCUGGAUCAAGUAAAGUGGUGCACGGGUGAGUAACGCGUGGAUGAUCUACCCUUGAAUUUGGGAUAACUCUUCGAAAGGGGAGCUAAUACCGGAUAACGUCUCAUUUUUUUCGAAUUUUGAGAUCAAAGAUGGCCUCUCCAUGGAAGCUAUUGUUUGAGGAUGAGUCCGCGUACCAUUAGCUAGUUGGUAGGGUAAAAGCCUACCAAGGCGACGAUGGUUAGCUGGUCUGAGAGGAUGACCAGUCACACUGGAACUGACACACGGUCCAGACCCCUACGGGAGGCAGCAGUGAGGAAUUUUGCGCAAUGGGGGAAACCCUGACGCAGCAACGCCGCGUGAGUGAUGAAGGCCUUCGGGUCGUAAAGCUCUGUCAAGUGGGAAGAACCUACUUAUGGGUAAUAUUCAUGAGUACUGACGGUACCACUGAAGGAAGCACCGGCUAACUCCGUGCCAGCAGCCGCGGUAAUACGGGGGGUGCAAGCGUUAUUCGGAAUUAUUGGGCGUAAAGGGCGCGUAGGCGGUCCUGUUAGUCAGAUGUGAAAGCCCGGGGCUCAACCCCGGAAGUGCAUUUGAAACGGCAGGACUUGAGUAUGGGAGAGGGAAGUGGAAUUCCUGGUGUAGAGGUGAAAUUCGUAGAUAUCAGGAGGAACAUCUGUGGGCGAAGGCGACUUCCUGGACCAAUACUGACGCUAAUGCGCGAAGGCGUGGGUAGCAAACAGGAUUAGAUACCCUGGUAGUCCACGCAGUAAACGGUGAUCACUAGGUGUAGCGGGUAUUGACCCCUGCUGUGCCGGAGUUAACGCAUUAAGUGAUCCGCCUGGGGAGUACGAUCGCAAGAUUAAAACUCAAAGGAAUUGACGGGGGCCCGCACAAGCGGUGGAGCAUGUGGUUUAAUUCGACGCAACGCGAAGAACCUUACCUGGAUUUGACAUCCUAGGAAUCCCUUAGAAAUUUGGGAGUGCCCUUCGGGGAACCUGGAGACAGGUGCUGCAUGGCUGUCGUCAGCUCGUGUCGUGAGAUGUUGGGUUAAGUCCCGCAACGAGCGCAACCCUUAUCUUUAGUUACCAGCACGUUAUGGUGGGGACUCUAGAGAUACUGCCCCGGUCAACGGGGAGGAAGGUGGGGAUGACGUCAAGUCCUCAUGGCCUUUAUGUCCAGGGCUACACACGUGCUACAAUGGGCGGAACAAAGGGUAGCAAUGCCGCGAGGUGGAGCUAAUCUCAAAAAGCCGUCCCGAGUUCGGAUUGGAGUCUGCAACUCGACUCCAUGAAGCUGGAAUCGCUAGUAAUCGCGGAUCAGCAUGCCGCGGUGAAUACGUUCCCGGGCCUUGUACACACCGCCCGUCACACCAUGAGAGUUGGUUGUACCAGAAGUUGUUGGGCUAACCUUUCGAGGAAGCAGGCACCUAAGGUAUGGCUGAUGAUUGGGGUG